rnacentral:rRNA from 1 species
GAUGAACGCUGGCGGCGUGCCUAAUACAUGCAAGUCGAGCGAACAGACGAGGAGCUUGCUCCUCUGACGUUAGCGGCGGACGGGUGAGUAACACGUGGAUAACCUACCUAUAAGACUGGGAUAACUUCGGGAAACCGGAGCUAAUACUGGAUAACAUGUCGAACCGCAUGGUUCAACAGUGAAAGACGGUCUUGCUGUCACUUAUAGAUGGAUCCGCGCCGCAUUAGCUAGUUGGUAAGGUAACGGCUUACCAAGGCAACGAUGCGUAGCCGACCUGAGAGGGUGAUCGGCCACACUGGAACUGAGACACGGUCAAGACUCCUACGGGAGGCAGCAGUAGGGAAUCUUCCGCAAUGGGCGAAAGCCUGACGGAGCAACGCCGCGUGAGUGAAGAAGGUCUUCGGAUCGUAAAACUCUGUUAUUAGGGAAGAACAAAUGUGUAAGUAACUAUGCACGUCUUGACGGUACCUAAUCAGAAAGCCACGGCUAACUACGUG